UACGUAGGGGGCUAGCGUUGUCCGGAAUCAUUGGGCGUAAAGCGCGCGUAGGCGGCCCGGUAAGUCCGCUGUAAAAGUCAAAGGCUCAACCUUUGAAUGUCAGUGGAUACUGCCCGGGCUAGAGUCCGGAAGAGGCGAGUGGAAUUCCUGGUGUAGCGGUGGAAUGCGCAGAUAUCAGGAGGAACACCAACGGCGAAGGCAGCUCGCUGGGGACGGUACUG
rnacentral:rRNA from 1 species